rnacentral:rRNA from 1 species
ACGGGGUGCAGCAGGCGCGAAACCUUUACACUGCACGACAGUGCGAUAGGGGGAUCCCAAGUGCACAGGCAUAGCGCCUGUGCUUUUCGGUACCCUAAGGCGGUACCAGAAUAAGGGCUGGGCAAGACCGGUGCCAGCCGCCGCGGUAAUACCGGCAGCCCAAGUGAUGGCCGAUCUUAUUGGGCCUAAAGCGUCCGUAGCUGGCCACGCAAGUCCAUCGGGAAAUCCACCUGCCCAACAGGUGGACGCCCGGUAGAAACUGCGUGGCUUGGGACCGGAAGGCGCGACGGGUACGUCCGGGGUAGGAGUGAAAUCCCGUAAUCCUGGACGGACCGCCGAUGGCGAAAGCACGUCGCGAGAACGGAUCCGACAGUGAGGGACGAAAGCCAGGGUCUCGAACCGGAUUAGAUACCCGGGUAGUCCUGGCCGUAAACAAUGUCUGCUAGGUGUGGCUCCCACUACGAGUGGGUGCUGUGCCGCAGGGAAGCCGCUAAGCAGACCGCC